rnacentral:siRNA from 1 species
GACCGGCUGAAGGAUCACCAGACC